rfam:Nicotiana sylvestris Nsyl_contig49583, whole genome shotgun sequence.
AGGACAUAUUAUUGUACUCGACUGUAUUCACGGCGUGAAACAGGGGAUUACACUAUUUUUAAACGGAAAGUGAAUCAAUUAACAUAAUAGACUCCU